rnacentral:tRNA from 1 species
GGAUAGGUGGUGGAAUUGGUAGACACUAAAUCAACUGCAAUAGAGUACGUCCAACCUCUACGUUAAACAAUAAAGGGUUUCGAGACUGGAGAGUCUUGCGAUGCAGGUUCGAAUCCUGCCCUAUCCA